rnacentral:rRNA from 1 species
CGAACGGGUGAGUAACACGUGGGUAAUCUGCCCUUAAGUCUGGGAUAAGCCUGGGAAACUGGGUCUAAUACCGGAUGAUAUCGAUGAAUGGCAUCUUUUAACGAUCAAAGGCGGGGCAACCUGCCGCUUAGGGAUGAGCCCGCGGUCCAUUAGCUUGUUGGUGGGGUAAGAGCCUACCAAGGCGACGAUGGAUAGCCGGCCUGAGAGGGUGAACGGCCACACUGGGACUGAGAUACGGCCCAG